AUGCCAGCGGUGGGUCUCUCCUUCCGGGCAACAGAGCAGGAGCAGCGGCAGUGGCACCGGACCCUGGGAGGCAGCGAACACCUGCGACGGCCGGGGCGCUUGGGGGGCGCCCAUCUCUCCGGGCCGAGCACCAGAGGAGGCGGGCGGGCGGCUGCGCCUUUUCUCCUCCUCCUGGGCCGAGCGCGCGCCCUACUUCGCUCGCUCCCUGCCUCUCCCGCGACAACAGGAGGGCGGUCGCGCCGACUGAGGCUGCGCGCACAGCAGGCUGUCCGGCCGGCCGACCGACCGACCAAGUCGGCAGCGGCAGCCACAGGAGUCUGCAAGGCGGAGAAGCCAAGCGCAGCGGAGGCGAGGUGCUGCUGCUGCUGCUUGCGCUGCGCGGCCGCGGGCUCCCUUUGGCCGGCCUUCCUUGUGCGCGCCUGGCCGCGAUGCGCCUCCCUCCUCCUCCUCCGGCGUAGCAACGGCAGCGGGAGGCUCCUCCUCCUUCGGCGGCGGCGGCGGCUCCUGCUCGGGUAUGCGCCCCUCCAGCCAGCAGCCGGGCCAGGCGGCUCCCGCGAGGGCUGCAGCGGUGGCUGCUGGUGGUGGUGGUGCGGCGGCGGCGGCGGCGGCGGCGGGGAAGGCCUAGCCAAGCGAGCCAGCCGCGCGCCCUCUCCGCCCGCCUCCCUUUUUCCGCCUCCGCCUCCUCCUCCUCCGCCAGCCAGCCAGCCCCGACCCGGCAGUGAUGGCAGACGAGCCGCAGCAGCACCAGCCACCUCCGACUCAGCAGCAGCAGCAGCAGCCGCCCCCCGAAGCCCCCGGCGGGGUCGUCCCGGUGGCGACGGCGGCCCCUUCGCUGCCGGCGCUGGUGCCCGGGCUGCAGGGGACCGAAGCCAGCGCGCUGCAGCACAAGAUCAAGAACUCCAUCUGCAAAACUGUACAAUCUAAGGUGGACUGCAUUUUGCAAGAAGUUGAGAAGUUUACAGAUCUACAGAAACUCUACCUCUACCUUCAGCUGCCUUCUGGUCCUAGCAAUGGAGAGAAAAG
rnacentral:lncRNA from 1 species